ensembl:lncRNA
CCAAGCAGAUGUCCACUUUAGGUCAGCUGGUUGUUGAAGGUGGAAGUCGUUCAUACUCAGAGGUUGUGGGUCAUCCCAGUAUCCUGCGACCCCAGCCUGUCCCAUGCAUAGCAAUACCUCCUCUGUGCCAUGCGGUGCGUGACCCUGGCUGCGCCUGCCAGACCUUCUGCCAGCCCCAGCUCUGCUGCCUUCACUGCAGACCUACUCAAUCCGUCCCUUUGGAUAAAUUCCCUGCUCAAUGUCCUCAGGCCACCAGGCGGAGCUCCGCGCCGUCCCUUCACAGCUGCUGGGAGGCUGAUGCAUCUGUCCCGGUGCAUCCACCAGGAGCUCAGCCUAUACAGCCGUCCACCUCUCACCCUGGAUCUGACCUUGUCCAGCAUGGAGCCAGCUCAGCUUCACCUAGGCAGCCUGUCGGAUCCAACAACCACCCGCUCCCUGCUAAUUCCAACCAAGCUGCCAUGGACGGGAGAAACUCUUCACCAGGCCAGCCUCCCUGUGAAAGAGCGCAAACAUCUGCGCAUGAAGCAGCCACAGGGCAAGAAGCAUCACCAGACAGAGAGCUGCCGCAGGUCCACACUCAGGCUCAAGUGCAGAUGACGACAGAAACCAGCAACCAGCCCAUGAUUGAAUUGCAGCCUAUCAUUGCUCGCAUUGAUGAUAACAGGGUGAGUUUAAUUAAUGUGUUAGUGUUUAACUGUUUUUUGCAGAGCAAUACCUUUGCUCUCAGUGUGCUCAGUACUGACCACAAUCCUCAGGCCUGGUGCUCUUUAGUGCUUGCAAAGGUUGCAUGUCAACCACGCUGUUAACUGGUCUACACCACAAGUCCUAGCAGAUGAAAAGGCCAUUGAGGAGCACUGCAAAUGUGCUGAAGCGUUGAAGAGAACUAAAGUGUGGGGUCCUUACAGUAUACUGACUUUGAUUUUGGUAGAUGAUAAAUAGUUUUUCAGUGUCAAGAUUUUAGGUUAAAACGUCUAUGACUGAAUGAAUGUAAAGUGUGCAUUUU